rnacentral:tRNA from 1 species
GCCCUCGUAGCUCAAUGGACAGAGCAAUCCCGUCCUAAGGGAAAGAUAGGGGUCCGAUUCCCUUCGAGGGCA